GACGUAGGGGACGAGCGUUGUCCGGAUUCAUUGGGCGUAAAGCGCGCGUAGGCGGCCACGCAAGUCGGGUGUGAAAUCCCGGAGCUCAACUCCGGAACUGCACUCGAAACUGCGCGGCUUGAGGUAGGUAGGGGAGAUCGGAAUUCCUGGUGUAGCGGUGGAAUGCGCAGAUAUCAGGAGGAACACCGGUGGCGAAGGCGGAUCUCUGGGCCUUACCUGACGCUGAGACGCGAAAGCUAGGGGAGCAAACGGG
rnacentral:rRNA from 1 species